rnacentral:rRNA from 1 species
UACGUAGGGUCCGAGCGUUUGUCCGGAAUUAUUGGGCGUAAAGAGCUUGUAGGUGGUUUGUCGCGUCUGCUGUGAAAAUCCAGGGCUUAACCCUGGACCUGCAGUGGGUACGGGCAGACUAGAGUGCGGUAGGGGAGAUCGGAAUUCCUGGUGUAGCGGUGAAUGCGCAGAUAUCAGGAAGAACACCCGUGGCGAAGGCGGCUCUCUGGGACGGUACGUGACGCGAGACGUGAAAGCGUG